ensembl:lncRNA
CAGCCUCUGCGGCGUCCUGAUGGCCGCAGGUUCCAAUGUGUGUGCCAAUUUUCAAGAGUUUUUGAGUAUGUUAAGGCCUCCAAAAACCCCCGGAAGGUUAAAAAAAUAAUAAUAAUAAUAAUAAAUAUAGCUGCAAGCAGCGAUGGCGGGCUCAAGCCAUCAGCGCAAACGCCACCCCGGUGGCAUCAGGUAAACUGUGCCCAGCGGGCAUAUGCAUUUACAGUAACCCUCUGGCACUCAGGUUUUAAGGGAUACGGCAAUUAACGGGUUAAUCCGAAGCAUCAAGACUUUGAAAUCACAUACACAGAACAAUAUUCAUUAAGAAAGUGAAAUUAAAUGAUUAAUAAACUAUUUAUUCGAACCCUUGCUAUUUUCUAUUCUAAUAAAAGUCUUGGCUGUGGAACAUCUGUAAUAGAGUUGGCUAGCUGGAUGCAAAUAAAGUCAUGCCUUUUAUUUUUUCCCCUGUUUGCUAUUUCACAUUCCUGUCACUGAAGCGUUGUGGCCAAAGACACAGAAGGUAACUGAAACAAUGUGGUUUAAGUCAAGGUGAUUAUUAGGGGUCCAAGCACAUUGGUUUGUGUAGAUGAUGCAGUUACACAAUGAACGUGUCUCUUUUCAAGUAAAUUAUGAGUCCUUAUGUGAGUACUAUUAUAUGCACAACAUGAAAAUAGAUAACUAAUAUAGUGUCCCUUCUACACUUUUUCAGUAAUGUGUGAUAACUUGAGAAAUAUGUUGUCAAUACAAUUAAAAUAACAAAGUAAUGGUAUUUAGGAGAUGAU